UCGAUAGAAAACUCUAUCUCUCGUAGGGGAGGUAGACCAGGUAAUUCGACCAAAAAAACUCCCAUAAAGUUGCAAACAAUGGGAAUGAAAUACACAGUAGGAUCAACAUUCAUAUUCCUGUUUAUUCAAUUGUUAGAGUAUAUAAAAUAAUUUUACUUCUUCUUCAAAGUUCGCAAGGUUACAACUUUACUUUCACAAUUAAUAAUUAUCCUAU
rnacentral:lncRNA from 1 species